UCUUGACAUCUUGAUGGUGAAUUCAAUUCUCGUCAUAUAGUCAGGGCGUUCGGUCCAAAAGCUCUUGAUGACCCAAAGUCCUCAGCGACCCCAGGUCGAACCAGAAUCACCCGCUGAGUUUAAGCAUAUCAAUAAAGCGGAGGAAAAGAAACUAACAAGGAUUCCCUUAGUAACGGCGAGCGAACCGGGAAUAGCCCAACUUGAAAAUCGGACGUCUUUGGCGUUAGAAUUGUAGUCUGGAGAAGUGUCCUCAGCGACGGACCGGGCCCAAGUUCCCUGGAAAGAGGCUAGAGAGGGGGAGAACCCCGUCGUUGCCCAUACCCUAUCGCACCACGAGGAACUGUUUUUGCGUGUAGGGUUGUUUGGGAAUGCAGCCCCAAUCGGGCCGGUAAAUUCUGUCCAAGGCUAAAUGUGGGCGAGACCGAUAGAGAACAAAUACCCGCCAGGUAAAGAUGGAAAAGGACUUUGAAAAGAGAGUCAAAGAGUGCUUGAAAUUGUGGGAGGGAAGCGGAUGGGGGCGGCGAUUCAUCCCGGUCGGAUCGCGAACGGAGCAAUCCGGUCCGCCAAUCGAUUCGAACCAUGGACCGGCGCAGGAAUUAAGGUUGUGACCUAAGCCCGGGCUUUUAUUCGCCCGCGGAGGCGUUGCUGCCUUAAUUGUGGUCUGCAGCACGUGCCUCAUGGUGUGCCUCGGCAUCUUCAUGCUCAGGGCGUCAACCUGUGGGCUCCCCAUUAGACCCAUCUUGAAACACGGACCAAGGAGUCUGACAUGUGUGCGAGUCAACGGGUGAGUAAACCCGUAAGGCGCAAGGAAGCUGAUUGGCUGGAUCCCUCACGGGUGCACAGCCGACCGACCUUGAUUUUCUGAGAAGGUUUAGAGUGUGAGCAUGCAUGUCGGGACCCGAAAGAUGGUGAACUAUGCCUGAGCGGGGCGAAGCCAGAGGAAACUCUGGUGGAGGCCCGCAGCGAUACUGACGUGCAAUCGUUCAUCUCACUUGGGUAUAGGGAUGAAAGACUAAUCGAACCAUCUAGUAGCUGGUUCCCUCCGAACUUUCCCUCAGAAUAGCUGGAACUCUGAAAUGAGUUCUAUCGGGUAAAGCCAAUGAUUAGAGGCAUCGGGGAUGCAAUGUCCUCGACCUAUUCUCAAACUUUAAAUAGGUAGGACGGGGUGGCUGCUUUGUUGAGCCAUCCCACGGAAUCGAGAGCUCCAAGUGGGCCAUUUUUGGUAAGAGAACUGGAGAUGUAGGAUGAACUGGAAGCCGGAUUACGGUGCCCAACUUCGCGCUAACCUAGAUACGACAAAGGGUGUUGGUCGAUUAAGACAGCAGGACGGUGGACAUGGAAGUUGAAAUCCGCUAAGGAGUAUGUAACAACUCACCUGCCGAAUCAACUAGCCCGAAAAUGGAUGGCUGAAGCCUUGCGACCUAUACCCGCCAUCGGGGCAAGAGCCGGGCCUCGAUGAGUAGGAGGGUGCAGCGAUCGCCAAAAACCUAGAAGCGUGAGCCGGGCGGACCGGCCGUCGGUGCAGAUCUUGGUGGUAGUAGCAAAUAUUCAAAUGAGAACUUUGAAGGCGAAGAAGGGAAAAGGUUCCAUUUGAGCGGCAUUUUCACAUGGGUUAGUCGAUCCUAAGAGUGGGGAAACCCGUCUGAUAGCGCUUAUGCAACUUGAACUUGAAAGGGGAUCGGUUAAAAUUCUGGAACCGGGGCGUGGCGGUUGGCGUCUCGUUAGGAAGUCCGAGACGUCGUCGGGAUUCCAGAAAGAGUUAUCUUUCCUGUUUAACAGCCUGCCCACCCUAGAAACGGCUCACCCGGAGGUAGGGUCCAGCGGCUGGAAGAGUGAUAUACCUUGGAUUUGACCCGUUUUCAUCCAUGGUAUAUAGAUGUUUUACUAUAUAUAUAUAUCUAUGUUUUCUACUCUUCUAUGUAUGUUUUCAGGUUCAGGUGCUUUUCAGAGUACAGCUAUGACUUUGGAGCAUUUUGGAGCUUAAAAGACAUUUCAUCCGAGCUGACCAUGUAGAGGUCGACGAGAGGAAGAACAAUCGAUCGAUGCACAUCCAGUGCUGUCGAUCGACACCAUGAGAUGCCUCGACAAAUGAAGAUUAAUAUCGAUCGAUGUACACAAGUACCAUCGAUCGAUGUCGAGAAAUUGAACAUGCGAGAUCUGCCUUGUUGUGAUAUUCAUGAUAGAUUUGUAUUCAUUGCUUGUUUUAGCCUUGCUAACUAGAACAUGAUCAUAAGAUUGCAUACUCAAGCACCCUUGUUAUCCCAUCCUGACAUCUAUCUAUCAUAUUAAGACUGCUAGAGAGGGCUAACCGCCAAUUUAGUAUCUUAAUAGAGCAUAUCAUACUCGCGCAUAGGCCUGGUUAGAACCCGUCGAUCAAUCUCCUCUACUGACUAUCGGUCGACGUAGGUAAAGGUGUAUUGGUCGAUGUCCCUAUAGGACCAUCGAUCGACACUCUUUCGUUGUCAACAUACUAAACGUUGAGACACGAGAUCUAGUUUGUUAACCAGUGAAACAUGCGACAGCUGUUCACUGAGUUAAGCGGUUGAGCUCUAACAUAUCAUGCAUGCAGCAAAUAGGCAUCUAUAGAUAUUAUAAUCUCCAACACCUGAAUAGUGGCCCUGCGUCUAAUAUCAUUUCCAACCAAGUUACAUUUACUAUUUACUUCGCUUGUUACUAUUGCUAUUUCAUUUAAACAUUUACAACUCUUAGAAUUAAUAAACACUAGAUUUAAUUGUUCCCUAGCUCCUUGUGGAUUCGAUCCCUAAGUACUACAUCUGAACGCCAUUAGAUUAACACUCCUAAGGGUAAUUUGAGAGUAACACUCCUAAGGGUAAUUUGAGUGGUAUCAAAUUUGGCGCCGUUGCCGGGGAGCUUUGAUCGCCAUUAGAUUUAGUUUUAUUGAUUCUUAUUCUCUUCUCUACCCCCUUUCUAACAUAGUCUUUUUCUUUUCUUUUCAGGUGCAUGGCCAGCGGGACCAGAAGCAACAAGGAAAAAGACUUGCUGUUCUCAGACGAUCCUGCUCAUUUGAAAUGCACCAUCCGUAGAGGUCAACGUUCCACAUCGCUUCGACGCAACAACU
rnacentral:rRNA from 1 species